GGUUCUAUACUUUAAUAAAAAGGUUUGAUUUGCAAUUAAAAAAUAAGGUUAUAAUUCUUUAGAACCG
rnacentral:tRNA from 1 species